GGGGGUGGGGUUUAAUGCUUUUUUUUUAAAUACUCAAAGGUUGAGUCCAGUGUUCUCAGGAAAACUAAGCUGAUCCUCAAAUGGAUAUGCCAUGGAGCCAUAUCCAAAAGAGAAGGAAAAACCACUAGAUAGCAAUUCUCUUACUGAGAAGAGACAAAGCUAAGAGAGGAGCAGCAAAAGCUAUUGCCAGAUUUCUACUUUUCCAGAGAUAGCUAAACUCUUAGAGGUGGAGAAGGCAGUUGUCCAUAAAAGAACUAGGAAGACUUCAAGAGGAAUUAAUGACUUAAUAUUUUUAUUUUACAGACUCAUCAUUGUCCCAACAUCACCUAGACAGAUGAGCAAGAAAAUGGUGGGAUAUAGAAACCAGAGGUGCUGUGAUAUCACUGGCAUUUGCAUCUCACCUUGCCUGUGAAAUCCCCAAAUCUGCUGUAAGGGCAACCUGAGAAACAGAGCCAAAUGGAGAGUGGUUUUCUCAAUCAUUCAGGUUACAAGCAGGUCCUGCCACUGGCAGUUCUCAUGGUUUUAGGAUGAUGUUUGGCGGCAAAAGAUGUGGAAAAAGAAUGAAAUAAAUUUAAGUGGAAAAGCAAUUUGUUACAAAAAUGUAUGUAGAUCUUCUGAAAAUAAAACCCGGAAAUAAACCUCCAGAACAUCUGUUGCUCGUUGGCUGCCAAGGUAUGCCACACAUCUUGGAGGAUAGCUUUUCUCCCCUUCCUGUUUUAUGUGUUGUAUCUUUGUUGAUGGCCUGAAAGUACCUAAUUAGAUCCCCUGCAUGGACUGGUCAGUCUACAUAUUUUUAUGAAUUAACAAUCUUCUUUGGUUUUGGAAUGUAUCUUCUGUUGAAUUUCUAUAGGAUUCAAAAUAUGCCAUCUUUUCAGAAUUAAAUCUAUGUCCCUAUGACAAGUCCAAUAUGGUUAUAUACCAUAUAUACCAUUUUUUAUUAAAAAAAAUUUAGCCACACUGUGUUGGCACAGAUGCAUUUUUAAAAAUUCACCUCCUUUAGUUGUCUAAUUGGUUGAAGCUGGUGGGGAAAUACUGCGUGUGGUUUCAUAAUGAAGUCAGAAAAAAAAUCAAGAAUAAAGAAAAGCCCACUGUGAAGCCUUUCCUUUAACUUAGCCAGCUACUUGAUUGGUAUUGUUCUGUGCACUGUCCCUGUUAUGUGCUGACAUUUGAAUCAAGAGUCACAUAAGCUUUGGUCAAGAUCUUGUAAUUUUAUGUGGAAAGGUAUUCCGUGCUUUUUAACCCAAGCACUGAAUCCUCAUUCAUGUGUUAAAAUUGAUCCUGAAUAAAUACUCAGCACUAUGUUUCCAAGCAGAAGUAACUGUUAAAACAUCUUUUUCACUUGCCUUCAGUCCUCUUCUGUGCUCACAGUGGUUCUUGUGAGAGCACUGUUCCUGGACUGCAGGACAGACCUGUUGCUACUAUUGGAUUUUUCAAGAUGUGCUGUGCCAAAACAAGGGAAUGUGCAAUUGCCGCUUCUACUUUACUGGUACACUCUGUUGUUUUCUCAUACUUUCACCUUCUGAUAAUUAAAUGAGUCUCAUGGAUUUUAUUAGAUGAACUACUAUUUGAGACCAUUUUCCCAUAUGAUUUAUUAUACCUAGGAAAUUUCAGCUGAAACGCCAUGGAUUCAGAUAAGUGUGUAGGUCUUCAUUGGAAAUGAACCUUUGAUAGAUGAGACUUGAGCUACCUUGAAAUAUGGACCAUGAGAAAGUCAUGCAGCUGACCACUCUUGCUUUGGCCAGGAAGAACCUGUAAGAGUGUACCUACAGUGUCUCUUCAGUAUCUGAGGGCCCAGCAAGCCCCACCAACAAGGAAGUGUCCAGUUACUCAACAUUGUCCCCAAGCCAGCAUUAGGCAAUAUCUGUGCUUCACUGUUCAAUGUACAUCUGGGCUAUGACACACUCCCAAAUUUUUAUUUCUGCUCCUUGACAGAUCAGUCUAACCUGACCUGAUAUGAGUCAGCAGUGCACCACUGCAGCAAGAAAAGCAAACUGAAUCCUGGGCUGCAUUGCAGGGAAGGUAUUGGCAGAGAUAGAAGAGAUGUGAUAAUCCCAUUCUACAUGUGCUCGUUGGGCCACACUUGGAGUACAAUGUCCAGUUCUGGUCACCACAGUUCAAGAAACAUAUGGACAGACGGGAGAAGGUUCAAAGGAGGGCCACAAAGGUGAUCAGAAAGCUGGAGAGACAGUCCUAUGAGGAAAGAUGAGUGUGAUUUUUUUUUCCUGGAGAAGAGAAGGCUGAGGGGCAUCUCAUCACAGUAUUCCAGUAUUUAAAGAGUGGCUGCAAGGAGGAUGGAUGUUCUCAAUUUACAAGAAGCCACAUGGAGAAGAUGAGAGGCUACAGGAAGAAGUUGCACCAGGAGAGGUUUCAUCAUGAUAGAAGAAAUAAAUUUUUUACACUAAGAACAAACAUUCACUGGAACAACCUCUCCAGGGGUGUGGUAGAGUGCCCAUCACUGGUGGUUUUCAAGAUGUGAUUGGACAGGAUGCUGGGUAAUCUGACCUAGACUCCCUUUCCCAUGAAAGGUUGGACCAGGUGAUCUUUUGAUGACUCUUCUGACAUGAGUUAGUCUGUGAUUUUAUGUCAUGCCCCACUGCUAUACUUUAUGGUAGGGAUUCCUUUCCUUCCUGGCUUUGUGUCUUGCCAUAAACCACACCUAUCUUGCUCUUCAAGCUAGUUCAUCCACUGGUUUUUAAUCCUGGAUUACUUUUACUGUAAUCCUGUUCCUGAAUCUACUGUAGCAAAGUUUCUUUAAGUUUGCCUGCUUCAGUAUGCUCACUGCACAUGCAGAGCACUGAUUACAUCUCUCCAGUCCUCACUUGGCCAAAUUUCAUGUUUAUUUAUCUCAGAAAUCUUCCAGACCUUUUUCCAUGCCAGCAAUACCCGGGCUUUGUGGUACGUUUUCCUCCCGAUGCAAGAGAUGUCCCUUAUCUCUCCAACAGUGCCUCAGAUCCUUCUGUUGCCAGCCAGACUCUCUUUGUGUUCUUAGUCCCUCUCAGGACUACUGUGUGCCCUGCAUGCUCUUGUAUGAAGCUUUGCUAUUCUUUUCAUCUUUUGCAUGACUCUUUAUUUUACUUUUCCUGUCAUGACCUUCACUGCUCUUUUUCUCCCUGCUCCACAGGCACUGCAUUUCCUCUGUGCUUUCCCCAUAAGAUUUUUCUGUUUCUUACCUUUUGCAACACUCUGUCUGUACUUUUUUGUCUUUCUCUUCUGUUGAAAAUAUAAAACUUAAAGCCUACUAGAAUUUUAAAACUCUAUUUGGCAGAUCAGCAGACCUAAAGUGUGGGAUAAUGUUAUGUUCAGAACUUCAGGUUACAGAGAGGGAAAUAAAUACUAGUGUCCUAUUUCAGUUGAACUCUGAAAGAUUCCUAUUUGUUCUUGAGUACAGAGAUUACCACUCCUGAGUGGUAACUAAUGUUCCCUAAACUGAUGACAUAUUUUUGGGCCAGUCUUGGCCUCAAGUUCUUCUUUGUAUGAUGCAAGAGCAGGAGGGAGAAUUGCAGAUGUGACUGUAAUCGUUGAAAUUAAUGCAUACAAAAUACAACCAUAUUUUUCCAGGCCCUGAAUGUAUUGGAGCAUGCCCCUGGGUACUGCACUCCGGUGAUCCCUAGAUGGCAACACGGCAUAAUAGCAACCUCCAGGGAACAGCUCAAGCAGCCCUGAAGCUUUAACACACUCACUUCACUGACUUGGGCCUUAGUAGACAUAUCCCCCUUUCACCUUGAGUCUUGCUCUGAGAGCAGCUUGGAAAAAAAUGAAUUAUAAUAUCUUUAACUUAAAUUUCUAUUCUUUCAUACGAUGUAGGUUUCCUCUGGGCCGGUUGUUUAAAAGGCCAAGUCUUAUAACUCCUUUAAGUGCCAUCUUUUCAUAGCUGUGUGAAAACUUCAAGGAAAAUUAAUUUAUCUAAGGGACAAAAUUUUCCUUGUGACUCCUAGGUUUCAUGGCAAGGAAAAAGAAACACUAAUAUAAGUCUUAUAAAACUUCUUGUGCAGUUCAAGUCAAAAAUCGAGAAAUAAUGAUACAAUCUAAGCACGAGCCCAAGAACAGCAGCGUCUAAAAUACCGAGACAAAAAAAAUCAGAAUUGAAAAAAUGAGAUUGAAAAAUUACCCUGAAAAUUCAUACCAUGCUGUAUUUCUGUUCAUUCUGCUUCUGAAUCUUUGAAUCAACAGCCCUGGGAAAUAUAAGCUAAAAUUCACUCCAUGUCUCUAGAUGUGCACAAAUGUACAAAAUGAUCUCAAGCAUUUAUUUGGAGAAUCAAUGCCAAAACAUAUCUCAGUAACCUUUGCGCUGAACCUGAUGAUACUUUUUAACAAUAAAUAUGACAUUACAUAGACUUUUGCCUGUUUUGUUGCCUGUUAGCAUUAAAGUCAUUAUUCUGUUCUACAUGUGGUUUCACAUUGCCAGUGACUGGCUGUAGACAGUAGAGUAGUAUCUGGUACAAAGUAUUUUUUGUAUCUGUCUGGUAAAAAAUUUGGAAAAUACUAUCUAAUUUACUGUGAAUAUAUCAUGCCACCUUAACCCAAAAAACCCAAAGAAACCUGCCAUUACUGAGUAUGUUUUCUAACCUGUAACACAAUAUUUUCUGACCCCAAUGUAUGCCUGUGUAAUCAAUAGGUUUCACAUGGGAAAACUUCCUUGAUAAAACUGUUAAAA